UUGACCUCGGAUCAGGUAGGAGUUACCCGCUGAACUUAAGCAUAUCAAUAAGCGGAGGAAAAGAAACCAACCGGGAUUGCCUCAGUAACGGCGAGUGAAGCGGCAAGAGCUCAAAUUUGAAAUCUGGCCCCUGUGGGGUCCGAGUUGUAAUUUGGAGAGGAUGCUUCGGGUGCGGCCCCUGUCUAAGUGCCCUGGAACGGGCCGUCAUAGAGGGUGAGAAUCCCGUCUGGGAUGGGCGGCCGUGCCCGUGUGAAGCUCCUUCGACGAGUCGAGUUGUUUGGGAAUGCAGCUCUAAGCGGGUGGUAAAUUUCAUCUAAAGCUAAAUACUGGCCGGAGACCGAUAGCGCACAAGUAGAGUGAUCGAAAGAUGAAAAGCACUUUGAAAAGAGAGUUAAACAGCACGUGAAAUUGUUGAAAGGGAAGCGUUGGCCACCAGACGCGCCCGAGGGGGUUCAGCCGGCACUUGUGCCGGUGCACUCCCCCCCGGGUGGGCCAGCAUCGGUUUGGGCGGUCGCUGAAAGGCUCCAGGAAUGUAGCACCCUCCGGGGUGCCUUAUAGCCUGGGGCGUCAUGCGGCCCGCCUGGACCGAGGCCCGCGCUUCGGCGAGGAUGCUGGCGUAAUGGUGGUCAACGGCC
rnacentral:rRNA from 1 species